rnacentral:rRNA from 1 species
GACGAACGCUGGCGGCGUGCUUAACACAUGCAAGUCGAACGAAGUGGAGAACGGGUGAGUAACGCGUAAACAACCUGCCAUUCAGAGGGGGACAACAGUUGGAAACGACGGCUAAUACCGCAUACGGAAGGGGGGGAAUGAGUCUGAUUAGCUAGUUGGAGGCGUAACGGCACACCCAGGCGAUGAUCAGUAGCCGGUCUGAGAGGCGGAACGGCCACAUUGGGCCUGUGACACGGCCCAGACUCCUCCGGGCGGUAGCAGUGGGGGAACCUCCUCCAAGUACGGAAGGCUGACGGAGCAACGCCGCGUUAGUGAUGACGGCCUUCGGGUUGUAAAGCUCUGUUAAUCGGUACGCGGUACCGGAAUAGAAAGCCACGGCUAACUACGUGCCAGCAGCCGCGGUAAUAC